GCAGUACUAUUCCGGUUCUCGUUAGAUCACCGAAGUCAAGCAUCAUUGGGCGCGGUCAGUACUUGGGUGGGUGACCACCUGGGAACACUGCGUGACGU
rnacentral:rRNA from 1 species